rnacentral:rRNA from 1 species
AUGGUGCAUAGCGGUACGAGUCGGGGUAGUACAGGAAGUACAGGCGGAGGCAAGCGAUAUAAAUAUGGUCCAAGCCUCACACCUCUUCCGCAGAGGCCUUAUGACAAGUCCGAGGAGGAAAAUGCAGCCAUAUCGAUGGCCGAGGUGGAAGCCCAUUUUGCACCGAAACCGCCACCGCCGCCAAGGGAGAAAGUGCCUGAGGAAACGAUUGACCACUUCAUUCGUAUGGCUCAACCACCAGCUCCCAAGCCUGUUCACACAGACUAUGAGCGCCACAUCAGGAAGUUAAAUCGAGCACGUCUACGUAAGGAGGCGAGCUCGGGAUCGAGCAAACAACAAGCAGCUGUCAAAAAAUGCGGGAAGACCAUUCCCCAGCUGGGAGAACAGGCGGCGCAAUUGAUCCCCUCGCUUGUUGUGCCAACAACACGUGACAGUACGCGCACCCAAUAUUAUUGUGGGCAAACAGUUUACGUUCCCGAGGUAGGCAAUGUGGUAAUAACCAAGGACCAUAUAAUGCAGGCUGAAGUUCUCAACAUCACUGUUGGACAACUCCUUGAGAUCGAGCCCAUGCCUGUGCUUAGAGAGGAUGAAAUAAAACGGAAAUAUGUCCGGGGCCAACCUUUGGUCGAGCCAGACAAGGUCAAGAACCUCCCAAUGAGAAUGUAUGAAUUGCAUCAAUGGUACAUGAACAUUACCAAGAUUUCAGAUCGAUUGUCCCUCAUGGUGAAUGUCAAGGAGGAGCAUUACUUCCAUGAGAAAGCUCUGUCCGUUGAGUAUUCUGAACUGUUUCAGUUAUACAAUCAAGACGCACUCGACAAAUCUAUCGUCAGUUGCUAUUGUCUGUAA